ACGAGCGUCCCGGAGAGCGGAGGCUGACCGGUGGCCACAGACGCGCUCCACGCUAUCCACAGGUUGGACAGGGUUCUUCUGAGACAUCAGCCAGGGAGAACAUCUCUCAUUUCCAGGCUGUCUUUGGACAACAAAAAACUGCAAAAAAUUAAAAUAAUAAUAUAUAUUUACAUAUGAACAUAAGCCAAUGGAAAAUUCUGCUCCGCACGAGGAACAACGCGCACGACGUCUAGUUCUGGAUGUAAGAUUGCACCUACACUGUGGAUUUCAGACCCCUCCAUGAUUUCUAAGUGGGAGAACUUGCUAAAUCGCAGGGCGAUCAAAUAUAUGUUUUUUUCUCUUUAGAGAAGCUGCACCAGGUCUGAUGUUCUGAGCUGUGAUCCCUUCAUGGAGAGAGCCAUUGGCUGCCAACAUUUUCCCUGUCAUAUGAAUCUUUUACUUUCUUUAACAUAGAAAGUACUGAAAGGUCAUCUGUUUAUUUAUUUGUGUAUCUGCCCCUUCUUCUCAAACCCCCCAGUAUGUGCAUCAGAAAAGCAAACUAUUGCUGUAAACAGUCAGUGUUGUUGUUUUAAAUGCAUGUAAACACAUUUGUCGUGCUGAA